UAAGCCUGUAGGUGAGUGGUUUUGAUCAAACUGUGAGGAUGGCUGUCAAGCAGAGUGUUCAAGUUUGUGUUAUUUCUCUCGCUUGGGGUUGUGUACGUGAUAAAUUGGAUUCAACACUCUCUAAACCGAGAGUGGACUUGGAUGGGUAGGAUAUUUGGGGUGAUUUUGGAAGAGCUUUGGUUGAGAAUAAAGUGUGAGUGGGGUAGAUUGUGGGUGUGGUAAAAUAUGUAGGCUUGGUGUUGUUAGGCAAGGAAGAAAAAUAUAAGACAGAGAGUGGGGGAUGUGUUUCUAGUAAUGGCUGCAUAAAAGUAUAGAGAGGAAGCAAUGGGUUGUUGUUUGGAAAAGUAAACUGGUGUGUGGGUGCUACUGUGAAUGUUGGCCUUUGGAGAGUGACGUGAAGUUUGAGUUACAUGCAGAGGUUUCAUAUUGGUUUCAUCUACUACGUGAAUAAGACAAAGAAGAGAAAAUUUAUGAAUGGCAUAUAACUGUAGAUGGCAGAGACGGGGAUAUUAUUCCUUAGUUGUGUUAGGUUGGAUAGUAAAUUAAUGUGUGAGAGAGAAAUUGGCUGUGUGAUGAGAAAUAAAAUAUAUGUGUGCGUGAGGGAUAAAAUAAGUUAGGUCUUAAGUAUGUUGGGAUGCAUGGUUCUUUAUUAGGGGGAGAUUUAUUUUUGAAGGANUAAAAUAUAUGUGUGCGUGAGGGAUAAAAUAAGUUAGGUCUUAAGUAUGUUGGGAUGCAUGGUUCUUUAUUAGGGGGAGAUUUAUUUUUGAAGGACAAUGCGAGAGUCCCCUUCGUUCUUGAUUGACUGGAAUGUAUAAGUAAAGGAGAUAGAAUGAAAAGUUUUAAUUGUUAGGAUGGUUAUAUUAAAUGAAGAGUGAGAAAAGUUUGGAAACGAGGGAAGAAAACAUGCAGGGGCACCUUGGGUUUAUUUAAUUGUAAAUAUAUACUUGUAGAACGUGGAUUAUGACAUGCAGGGGUUUAAUAUGGGAUGAGAGUUACUUUUUUAUGUUGAAAGGGUAAUUUAAAAGGAUGCAUGAUGCUUAUAGGAGAAAGAAAACUAAACAAUUGUAAUUGAAGAAAUUAUUAGGUGAUGUAGGUCUCACGGUUAAUGAAGGUAAAGAAAAAAAAAAUGAAAUAAAAGAAUUUAUGAGAAAAGAUGAGAGAAAAGGAACAAUUUUUAGUGAAUGCAUUAAAUGGUGUGGGUCCUCGAGAGAAGUGAUGGAAGAAGAGUUUUGUUUUAGUAUUGAAUGUCAUCCAUGUUUUAGGUGCAUAUGCUUCACGAUUUUGGCUUUUGAUUUUCUAAAUAUAUAUAUUAUGUAUAUUUAAUAAUUAAUUGGUUUAUGUAUAUGAUGAACAAAUAAAGCAUUGAGGCCGCGCGUGAAAAAGUAUAUAUGUAGUUAUAUAU
rnacentral:lncRNA from 1 species